ensembl:lncRNA
GCCCCAGUGACUUUUAGUGACUCGGUGACUUCACAGCUUUGCUGCAAAGCUAAGAGUUUGGUCGGGUACGGCUGAGUGCCCUGAAUCACGCAUCAUGAACCUAAUCGCUAUCUGCAUUCGUCCCUCACACAGACACACACAGACACACACAAACACACGUGUGUAUGAGGGACAUGGACGGGAAAGGUGCUCAAAGUGACGAGCACCGGUUCCGAGCGUUUCCCCGGGCCCAGACAGAUCUGGGUCUGUCGCCAAGGAUUUGCCUCAACGCAGCGACGGCAACAGAUGUCGGGCCAUGGCGAGGGGCUUUGAUGGAACUCCACGGCAUCUGCACCGUGAUCAAAGCCGUGUUUUGUUUCGGCGGUGAGGCCAGGCUGUAAGGAGGAUUUUCUUUUCUUUUUCUUUUUUUUCUAGUGUUGCAAGAAGGCCAUGACUGGAAACGAGGACACACAGUGUCACAGACGAGAAGAAAUAGCCUAACACAGGACACCUGGUGCCCUGCCACGGUUCAUCGCAACACAGAUAGAGAGAUAUAAGAGGAACAGAGAUUUCAGUUGAACACAGGGCAGGGAGGGGUCGUCAUGAAAACUUCCUGUAUGAGUUCAUUCAUUGUCACGACAACAGCUGAACAACUGAAAAUGGUCGUUUGCUACUCUGCAUACUGUAUUUAUCUAUACAUGUUUUUUGUAUGUGAUGGUUAGAAUAGGCUAGUGUAGGUUAGAGACAGAUGACAAUAGAUGUGGAGGAUAUUUAAGUAAUUUAGGGGGUGGCUAUUGACUGCUGAAUCUUCUGAACUUCAUUCGAUAGAGGGUUGGAUGUUCCCUUGUGAUUUUAUCUCCCCAUGAUGUUUAGUUCACUCUUCCGAACAUGUCCAGGAAAAUGUGAUUAGGGCCGAUGCCAUGAGGAACUGGGCUUAUGAAGCACUACUGUUGAGGGGACUAGCACAGGGAAUCCUUGUAUAUAUCCUUCGGGAGAGAGGGAAUGAGUCAGAGAGAGAUGGAGAGAAGAGUUGGAAGUAAAGUCUACAGGUGCUCAGUACUACAAAAUAGAAGAAGUCUGUGCUGGUUUGCAGGGGCAUCUUAAUAGGCAUACAGUACGCCCUACAUACAAAUUAGAAAGCACCAAAUAAUCUG